ensembl:lincRNA
ACCCUUCCUCCAACAGCUGGGAGGGGCCACGCCCCGGCGCUCUAGCCAGGACUCCAGGGCUGGAGGCUCCGCCCCAGUGCGUAGCGUCAUCACGCCCCACCCCUUCCGUCCUACUAGAUCAGGGGCCCAGCCUUUUCGCCCAACUACGCCUAUUUUGCGGGUAACUCACCUUCAACCGCCUUCGGCCCCGCCUCCACGUGGUUACGUCGCUCUCAGGCUGUAGACCCUUCUGAAUCCUGUCAGGGAAACUAAAACUAAAAAAACUAAAAACCCUGGCUUGCUGACGGUGUUCAAUUUCUUGAUUUGGGAGCGCGCUACAUGAGGUAAAGAAACUAAUGGAAGAAUUUACCUGUAAAGGGAAGAAAAAGGUAGAUGGCUCAGAGACUGCCCUCUUGCUCUCCUGCUAUUUCUCAUGAAAAGAACAUACCCCAAGUUCAAAGAGGAUGAGAGACAUGUGGAGCAGACCUGAACCUGCAGUGAAGCCUGGAGCCAACUCCAAGUGACCUGCAACCUAAAGUUGAGAUGCCCCAACUACCCCAAUGGACCUGUGAGCAACAAAAAGGCUCUAUCUCCCAUCUUCUGCACCAUUUCCCAAGCAGCAUCUUCAAUCUCUUCACCCUUUCUCCAUCCAUUCCCAGAGAGUUGCUGAGAACUGCUGGAAAUGUGACGCUCUCUUCAUCCAACCCACAUGUGAUGGUUAGGCUAAUGUGUCAACUCGGCCAAGUAAUGGUACCCAGUUGUUUGGUCAGGCCAUCACCAGGCUAAUUGUAAUACAAGGGCAUUUCAUGGACUUUAAUCAUCAGUGAGUUGAUUACAUAGAUGGCUGGUUACACCUACAAUCAACUGAGGAGAUUGCUGUCAGCAAUGAGUGAUGUCUCAUUUCAUCCAAUCAGUUGAAAGCCUUAAAAGGGAAAGUGAUUUCAGCCUUCAGAGAGAGAAUUCCCAUCUCUACUUCAGACAGCCAACAUCUCUUGGAAACUCAUCAAGAACCUUUAUCUGAGCCCCUGGUUUACAGCCUGCCCUAUGGAAUUUGGACUUGUGUAUCCCCACAGUCAAUUUUAUAAAAUCUCAUACUCUUAUAUUUACAGAUAUCUCCUGUAUUCUGUUUCCCCAAUUCUGUUUCCACCAUAUAUGGCUGGGCCCUCAGCACUGCUGCAUCUUUCUGUUCCCUCCCUCACCUGACCCUUCUCUUGGAUACCACAGCUGGUUAAAGAUGGCACCCACAGGAGCUCUAUGGAAUCAAGAGAGGGGAGAUCUCUACCCUUUAGGUCCUAAACCUCCCUCACGCCUAGGGCUGGGACUAGGAUGAGGCAAGUGAAGAACUUGCUUCAGAAGCAAAUUUCAAAGGGGUACCAAAAAUUUUUUUCAGUAAUCAAAACAGAUAAUAUUUAAUGCAAUAUUUUUUAAAAAAUCAAAAUUAGUGCAAAAGCCUAUGGUGAGGGGAGCAAAUGUAGCCCAGUGGUUGAGCACCAGCUUCCCACAUAUGAGGUCCCAAUUUCAAUCCCUGAUACCUCUUCUUAAAAACAAACAAACAAAACCUACGGGGAACAAAAUAAAAUUUGAAACAAAGG